UACAUGACAUUCAGAUCUUUUUUUCUAUUAAUCAUAAGGUAAAAAUGUAUAGAACUAAUCUAAGCUAUGGACCAUCUUGUGUUGACUAUCCAAUCUUUUAAAAUUUUAAUUUUACUAUCCAAUCUUUCUUUUUUUUUUUUUAUUUGAGUCGGUCCACGACAUUUUAACUUGAAAAUUUCAAUGCAUUGUUUAUAUUUAUAGGUUUAGUUAGUAUACUUCAACAAAUUUCGCAAUUAUAAGUUUAUUAAAAGAAAUAAUUAGCUUAAAUUUUAAAGUUAAAAUGUAAUUCACUAACUCAAAUCAAAAAUUAAAAGAUUAAGGCUUAGUUUGGUAUUGAGAUCUAUCUAACGCUAUUAAAUAAAAUGGAGUUGAGGAAAAAGCAUAUAGGGAUAUGCUUCUGCGUUCUCCAGUAGGACCGCAGAAAAUAUAUCGUAACCGACUCAUUGCGAUAUGCGGAACGCAAUAUUACGUACGGAAACAAAUAUGGUAUUUUUCCAUUGUCUACACGUAACGCAAUCUCUCCGCAAUCCCAAACGAAGGCUAAAUAGUCGAUUCAAAAUGAUACGCAGUACAUGUAAGUUCUAUACGUUUUUAUCUAAUAGUAAUAUUUAAUAUUCUCAUCUAUAUCUUUACCUAUGCACUAUUUCUUAUAAAAUUUGCACAGUUCUUCCUUCAUCCUUGCCUUGUUCUAUCUUCCCACUCCCUGAUACGUCGCCUUGCCACCCUCAAUCUCUAUUCGAUACUUCGUCUUCCCAUCCGUCCACUUUCUAAUUAAUGUAUUCACGUGAUUUAUUAUUAUCUAAACAAAUCGAUUUCAUAAAAAUAAAAUAAAAUAAAAUAAGAUCUCUUUAUACUCUAUUUUUUAUACUAUUUGUAUUUAUUGAUGUCUAAUGACAAGUCAAAAAAUUUUAAAAUUUUUACUUUAUUAAUCUUCUAUCUUUUAUAGUAUUAACCCGCCACAGUACGCAAGUAAUUUUACUAGUAUUAAUUAUUAGACUUAAAUUUAAGUGGUUCUGAUUCCGUCUCAACC
rnacentral:lncRNA from 1 species